UACGAAGGGGGCGAGCGUUGUUCGGAUUUACUGGGCGUAAAGGGCGCGCAGGCGGUUCUGUUUGUCGAGUGUGAAAGCCCCGGGCUCAACCUGGGAACAGCGCUUGAGACUGGCACGCUCGAGUUCGGGAGAGGAUGGUGGAAUUCCCAGUGUAGAGGUGAAAUUCGUAGAUAUUGGGAAGAACACCGAUGGCGAAGGCAGCCAUCUGGACCGACACUGACGCUGAGGCGCGAAAGCGUGGGGAGCAAACAGG
rnacentral:rRNA from 1 species